rfam:Monodelphis domestica chromosome 4, whole genome shotgun sequence.
UGCACUGUAUGGUAUCUGCAUCCAGCAAUAUUAUUGUUGGGGUGUUCAAAAGACAGUGCUAUAGAAAUUCAGUAUCUGGCAUCGUUGGUUUCAUGCUUGUCAUGCAUGUUCAGCCUGGUAUUUCUAUUGAUACAGGC